AGUAUGAAAUGUAAAAACUAAAUUGGACUUGAAGCCCCAGCGUAAAUACAUUAUUUCUCAGUAAACCUACUCCUCAGGUCGUACCUCAUUUCAUAGAAAUUA
rnacentral:ncRNA from 1 species